GAUGAACGCUGGCGGCGUGCCUAAUACAUGCAAGUCGAGCGAACAGACGAGGAUCUUGCUCCUCUGACGUUAGCGACGGACGGGUGACUAACACGUGGAUAACCUCCCUAUCAGACAGGGAUAACUUCUGGAAACCGGAGCUAAUACCGGAUAAUAUAUUGAACCGCAUGGUUCAAUAGUGAAAGACUGUUUUGCUGUCACUUCUAGAUCUAUCCGCGCCGCAUUACCUAGUUGGUAAGGUAACGGCUUGCCAAGGCAACGAGGCAUAGCCGACCAGGGAGAGUGUUAGGCCACACUGGAACUGAGAGAAGGGCCAGGCUCGUACGGGGGGAAGCAGGAGGGAAUCUCCGGAAACGGGAGAAAGCUUGACGGAGCAACGCCGCGUGAGUGAUGAAGGUAUUCGGAUCUUAAAACUCUGUGAUUAGGGAAGAAGAAAUGCGUAAGCAACUAAGCACGCAUUGACGGUACCUAAUCAGAAAGCCACGGCUAACUACGUG
rnacentral:rRNA from 1 species